UACGAAGGGGGCUAGCGUUGUUCGGAAUUACUGGGCGUAAAGCGCGUGUAGGCGGUUGUUCAAGUCAGGUGUGAAAGCCUUGAGCUCAACUCAAGAAAUGCACUUGAUACUGGAUGACUAGAGGACCGGAGAGGAUAGUGGAAUUCCCAGUGUAGUGGUGAAAUACGUAGAGAUUGGGAAGAACACCAGUGGCGAAGGCGGCUAUCUGGACGGUUUCUGACGCUAAGACGCGAAAGCGUGGGGAGCAAACAGGG
rnacentral:rRNA from 1 species